rnacentral:rRNA from 1 species
GUGAGGCUUGACCAUAUAACACCCAAACAAUUUGGCUGUUAGACGGUUGAAGUCGACAGUAAUGCCGAAGAUUUGCGAGAACACGUAAUACCAACUGAUACCACAUACCCAAUUCGCUGCAGCGGCUAAACCCCGAAGCAGCAACCAGUUUGCUUGACGACCAUAGAGCGUUGGAACCACCUGAUCCCAUCCCGAACUCAGUAGUGAAACGACGCAUCGCCGAUGGUAGUGUGGAGCUUCUCCAUGUGAGAGUAGGUCAUCGUCAAGC